rnacentral:tRNA from 1 species
AACAAUGUGGCCGAAUCAAGCAGUAGACUGUAAAUCUUCCCAUGGACCCUCUCUCCCGUUGUUA